rnacentral:rRNA from 1 species
UCUACUCCUAGGGGAGGCAGCAGUGGGGAAUAUUGCACAAUGGGCGGAAGCCUGAUGCAGCGACGCCGCGUGAGGGAUGACGGCCUUCGGGUUGUAAACCUCUUUCAGUAGGGAAGAAGCGAAAGUGACGGUACCUGCAGAAGAAGCGCCGGCUAACUACGUGCCAGCAGCCGCGGUAAUACGUAGGGCGCAAGCGUUAUCCGGAAUUAUUGGGCGUAAAGAGCUCGUAGGCGGUUUGUCGCGUCUGCCGUGAAAGUCCGGGGCUCAACUCCGGAUCUGCGGUGGGUACGGGCAGACUAGAGUGAUGUAGGGGAGACUGGAAUUCCUGGUGUAGCGGUGAAAUGCGCAGAUAUCAGGAGGAACACCGAUGGCGAAGGCAGGUCUCUGGGCAUUAACUGACGCUGAGGAGCGAAAGCAUGGGGAGCGAACAGGAUUAGAUACCCUGGUAGUCCAUGCCGUAAACGUUGGGCACUAGGUGUGGGGGACAUUCCACGUUUUCCGCGCCGUAGCUAACGCAUUAAGUGCCCCGCCUGGGGAGUACGGCCGCAAGGCUAAAACUCAAAGGAAUUGACGGGGGCCCGCACAAGCGGCGGAGCAUGCGGAUUAAUUCGAUGCAACGCGAAGAACCUUACCAAGGCUUGACAUGAACCGGUAAGACCUGAAACAGGUCCCCCCCCA